rnacentral:misc_RNA from 1 species
AACAAGGCGUACCUGCGGACCUGCGGAGGGAUCAUUACCGAGUGUGAACCCCCCCGUAAAAAAGAGGGGUUACCUCCCGUCCUUUGCUGGGAACCCCUUUCCAACUUGGAAGGAGGUUGUUUUCAGACCCUUCUGCUUCGGUGGGGUAACCCACCGGAACAACCUCAAAAAUAUUCUCAAUUCAAAACCGUUCAGUCCGAGAACUUCUUUGAAAAGCGAAAAAACUUUCAACAACGGAUC